UCUAUCCCGGUGCAAUGAGAC
rnacentral:misc_RNA from 1 species